UACGAAGGGGGCUAGCGUUGUUCGGAAUUACUGGGCGUAAAGCGCACGUAGGCGGCGCGUCAAGUCAGGGGUGAAAGGCCUGGGCUCAACCCGGGAACUGCCUUUGAGACUGGCGUGCUGGAGUCCGGAAGAGGGUGGCGGAAUUCCCAGUGUAGAGGUGAAAUUCGUAGAUAUUGGGAAGAACACCGGUUGCGAAGGCGGCCACCUGGUCCGGUACUGACGCUGAGGUGCGAAAGCGUGGGGAGCAAAC
rnacentral:rRNA from 1 species